rnacentral:misc_RNA from 1 species
CGCACAUUGCGCCCACUAGUAUUCUGGUGGGCAUGCCUGUUCGAGCGUCAUCUCAACCAUCGAGCCUUAGUCGCUUAGCGUUGGGGCCCGCCUGUAUCGGCGGCCCUGAAAGCCAUCGGCGGAGUUGCUUUAGGCCCUCAGCGUAGUAAAUCUCUCGCUUUUGGGCCCUGGUGACCCCCGCCGUUAACCCUUCCAAAGUUUGACCUCGGAUCAGGUAGGAAUACCCGCUGAACUUAA